rfam:Triticum aestivum genome assembly, contig: Triticum_aestivum_CS42_TGACv1_scaffold_288536_4AL
UAGAUACUCCCUCCGUUCCGAAUUACUUGUUUUGGAUUUGUCUAGAUACGGAUGUAUCUAGCAUCUCUAGAUACAUCCGUAUCUAGACAAAUCCAAAAUAAGUAAUUCGAAACGGAGGGAGUACAAG